GGAGGGAUGGCAGAGCGGCCGAUUGCAUCGGUCUUGAAAACCGACAGGAAGGCAACUUCCUCGGGGGUUCGAAUCCCCCUCCCUCCG
rnacentral:tRNA from 1 species